rnacentral:rRNA from 1 species
CCUGAACGCUGGCGGCGUGGCUAAGACAUGCAAGUCGCACGGUGUAGCAAUACACAGUGGCGAACGGGUGAGUAAUGAAUCGCUAAUGUGCCCCGGACUCUGAGAUAGCUGCCCGAAAGGGCAGGUAAUAUCAGAUGAUAUAACCGAACCGCAUGGUUUGGUUCUCAAAGGUCCGCCGGUCUGGGAGCAGGCGAUUUCGUAUCAGCUAGUUGGUGAGGUAACGGCUCACCAAGGCGACGACGCGUAGCCGGACUGAGAGGUUGGCCGGCCACAUUGGGACUGAGACACUGCCCAGACUCCUACGGGGGGCUGCAGUAACGAAUCUUCCGCAAUGCACGAAAGUGUGACGGAGCGACGCCGCGUGUAGGACGAAGCCC